rnacentral:misc_RNA from 1 species
GAAAAGAUGAGCUACUACGGCCAGCAACCUCCCGUCGGCGUCCCGCCGCAGCAAGGUUACCCGGGGAAGGACGGCUACCCGCCGCCGGGGUACCCACCGGCCGGCUACCCGCCGGCGCAGGGCUACCCACCGGCUGGGUACCCCCCGCAGCAGGGCUACCCUCCGCCGUACGCGCAGCCGCCGCCCCAGCAGCAGCAGCACAGCAGCGGCCCUUCCUUCAUGGAGGGAUGCUUGGCUGCCCUCUGCUGCUGCUGUCUCCUGGACGCCUG